AUACGGAGGAUCCGAGCGUUAUCCGGAUUUAUUGGGUUUAAAGGGAGCGUAGGUGGACAGUUAAGUCAGUUGUGAAAGUUUGCGGCUCAACCGUAAAAUUACAGUUGAUACUGGCUGUCUUGAGUUCAGUAGGGGUGGGCGGAAUUUGUGGGGUAGCGGUGAAAUGCUUAGAUAUGACGAAGAACUCCGAUUGCGAAGGCAGCUCACUGGACUGCAACUGACACUGAUGCUCGAAAGUGUGGGUAUCAAACAGGAUUAGAUACCCUGGUAGUCCACACAGUAAACGAUGAAUACUCGCUGUUUGCGAUAUACAGUAAGCGGCCAAGCGAAAGCAUUAAGUAUUCCACCUGGGGAGUACGCCGGCAACGGUGAAACUCAAAUGAAUUGACGGGG
rnacentral:rRNA from 1 species